GGGUGUUCACACAGGCAGUUUUUUUUUCAGGUGCGGGUGGAUGUUUUACAUUAUAUUCCUAUGAUACAGGGUGUUUUUGUAAAAACAUCCUGGGUGCUUUUAAAAACACCGCUGCCAGCGGGUUUUUUUCACUGCUCUGGGUGGUUUUCAAGUUGGGAUAAAUUCAACUCGCCAAGAAAAAGCACCCGACGUCAGGUAGUUUUUUGACAGCUGACCAAUGAACAAGAACCUACGUCACUAGGAAAAACGUUGGAAAUUCAAGAAUGGCGACCCAAACCAAGACGUCUUUCCCGACGGAGCAACUUGUUGUUCUUGUCAGUGAACAUGUUGAGUUGUAUGACAUGACCAACAAAUUAUACCACAACAUUUAUCACAAGGAGAGUAUCUGGAGGACGAUCGGUGGGAUUUUGGGACAUAAGUGUAAGUAUUAAUUUUAAUGUUUAUCUGCUCACCUAACAAACUAUCCAGUUAUCACCGUUAAACGUGUUUCUAAUAACAUUUCUAGCGAGAAAUAUACUUUUUACUUGCAUAAUCUUUAGUCAGUGAUUGUGUCUGAUCUUUAGUUUUAUAGUUAUUAGGAAGAUUUUAUCGGCUCGAUGUCAAAGAUGUCCGGUUGCUAGGGACGCUGCUUUCGUACAGCUGAGGGCACAGCUGAGCUGAGGGCUGGUGAUACGGACAACGCGAAAGCGUUAGUAGCUGCUAGAGAAAUUCUUGGUAGGGCUUAAUCCUAGCCUGUUGUUUACUUUUAUUCACUGUAGGGGAGGAUUGCCGUGACAAAUGGAAAUACCUUAGAGGCAAGUACGGCAAAGAAAGAAAGGAAAUGAAGGAGAGGAGGAGUGGAUCGGAGGGAGGACAUAAACACAGUUGGAAAUAUGUAAAAAUUCUAUCUUUCCUGGAGCCUUAUGUCCAGGAAAGGCUCACAAUUAGUAACUUCGACCAGCCAAGCCAGACAGCAGAGAGCAUUUUGAAUGCAAUGUGUGAAAACAAUGAGGUAAGACUAGAUGAGAUUGGGCUAAUGUGCCAUGAUGAACAGGCCAAUUCAUAAUUGUAGGCUAAAUCAAACGAGUGAAGCUUAUCAGCUGUAUGACUAUGUCCUGUGUUUAAUCCUGUAGAUUGCGAAGGAAAAAAAAAUUAUGCUUUGUGUAAUGUUGUGUUUUGUCCCGUGUUUCCUUUACCUGACAGACUACAUUGGAUGACACAAUCAGUAGUCAACCUGGGCCUGGUUCUUUAAAUGGCAGUUCAUCAAGGCCCCCACCCCAUUCAUCUAGGCCCCCACCCUCUCCAUCUCCACCCCCACAACCACCUCAACAAGAACAGCAGCAGGAAUUCGGGCCCAUGAGAGUACAAAGAGGGAGGAAGAGGCAGGCCACUGCGACCAUAACCCCCUACCAGCAACAGGUCCUCAGUGCCCUUGCGAAAGAGGAGAAUGAGCAUGAGCGUUUCCUAUUGAGCUUUGCACCCACACUGGCAAGGUUGGAGCCUCGCAAACAGGCAUUGCUAAAGUGUAGAAUGCAGUCCCUGUUUUAUGACAUCGAGUUUGGAGAAUAAAUGAAAUUAUUAAAUUAAAUUAUUACAUUUAAACACAAACAUCUGCUUUGUACCUCUUUCUUUACAUUAGAUAUUCUGAAGGAGAUUUAACAUUUUAUCUUGUUUUAGCACUACAAUACCCACUUUGAUAUACAUAGGAGCCACACAAUUUCUAUUAGGUAUAAAAAAUAAAUGUAAACUUAUGUCAGCUUUAUCGUUCAUGGGUGUGGUACUGCUUCCAAGAUUCAGAGAAAACUUCAACUUCACCACAUCAUCUGGUGUUUGCUGGUGAUGAAAUGGAAUAGCUUUUAAGCAGAAGCUUUGGGUAGCUCUUAAAAGAGCUGUUGGUUUGGUUGGUUCUUUUAAGGCCUAUGUAACGGACCUAUUAUGUAUCCACCUGUAUUGCGCCCCGGAACCUUUUGUUUACGUCUCACCCGGUACCCUUUUAGAGGCGCACAGCAGCAUUCACGGCGAUGCGUGUUUCGCGCGUAGUCGCGUCGAAGACCGUAUGAAGCAAGCUAACGGCUGACCCAUGAAUGUCCGGUGAAUGCAACUUUUCCCUCUCAAUUUACCCUCGUCUUGCACCCUUGGCAAGCGGAGCGAGAUGUUAUCCUGCCAGGGAACUCGUCCAGCUUCAGACAUGAAGUACUGAGCAAACUUCUCCCUCACUGCCACAGCAUCUCUGCCAGCAUUGUUGGUGCCAAGGCGAGGUGCGUUCUGGAGACCUUGUGAUGGCGCAGCUGUGGAUGUUCCAGUAGAUGACCUAGCCGGUAUUGUAGUGCUGGCAUCCCACCUGAGAAAGUUAUGGAGCAUGCAGGUGGCCUUUACCACAUUCUCUGCCACUUCUGGAGAGACACACAGCACCCGACGGUACACUCUCCAUUGGGAUGCCAGUAUGCCAAACGCACACUCGACCAUUCUGCGCACGUGAGAGAGACGGGUGUUAAACACUUUUUUUUCUCCAGUGUUGUAGCCAGGGUAUGGGCGCAUGAUGUUACGGCGCAAGGGGAAGGCUUCGUCUGCCAGAAACACAUGAGGCAUCGGGCCAAGAUGUUCUGCCCCUGGGAGGAUGGAGUCAUCCGGGAUACCCAAUGUGUUCUGCCGUAGGGCAGUACCAAAAGCGGAGGAGGAGAGGGUUCCCCCAUCACUGUUUCUUCCAUAGGCCCCGAUGUCAACAAGCCUGAAACAGUACCUGGCGUCGACUACAGCCAGAAGGACGAUGGAAAAAGUGCCUUUGUAAUUGUAAUAAAGAGUGCCACUGGAGGGAGGAGCCUCAAUGACUACGUGUUUCCCAUCCAUUGCCCCUAUGCAGUUGGGGAAAUCCAGCUGUUGGAAUCCAGUGGCUAUCUUUCUCCACGCUGCUUUGUCUGGAAUAGGCAUGUAAUCUGGCAGGAGGCAAUCCCAAAUAGCUGUGCAGACCUGAUGAACUAUGCCUGCCACAGUGCUGGCACCCAUCCUGAAGGCGAAAGCGAUGGACCGGAAUGAAUCGCCAGUUGCCAGAUACCUGCCCAAAGAGUGAUAUUUAGUUUAGUCUGAAACAAUUGAGCAAGCAUGCAUACACCUGUUGAUCUUGAUUGUAGCCGUUAGCAGUUAGAUAGCAGUUUCUAUUUCAUUUGCAGGCCUGACAGUCAGGUACGUAAUGCUAGCAGUCUACAUCCUGUCCAGCGAAGGACGCUAUACAUAUAAAAUAGGCCUACUCUGAGCACCUUUAAAACAAGACUGAAGACUUUUAUGUUUGCUUUAGCUUUCUGCUAAAUCUUAAAUACAUUGCACUUUCUAAAAAGCUUUUUUAAAUUUGCCUUUAUAUUCUAUUUAAUACUAAAAUGCCUUUUUAACUUUCUAUUUUACCCAUUUCUUCUUCUAUGACAAUGUUUAUAUGUGAAGCACUUGAGUCUGCCUUGUGUAUGAAAAGUGCUAUAUAAAUAAAGUUGCCUUGCCUUGCCUACGUAUGCUGAAAAGGUGAGAACAAGCUCUGCAACACCAAAGAGUAUGGGAGGCAAGACAACAUAGCUUACAUUAGACCUGUUGCUAGGUAACCUACUACCUGCUUGUUACUAGUAAUAAAAUAAGCUACGAGA